UACGGGGGGAGCAAGCGUUGUUCGGAUUUACUGGGCGUAAAGGGCGCGUAGGCGGCCACCGCAAGUCGACUGUGAAAUCUCCGGGCUUAACCCGGAAAGGUCAGCCGAUACUGCGGGGCUAGAGUGCAGAAGGGGCAACUGGAAUUCUCGGUGUAGCGGUGAAAUGCGUAGAGAUCAGGAAGAACACCGGUGGCGAAAGCGCUCUGCUAGGCCGCAACUGACACUGAGGGACGAAAGCUAGGGGAGCGAAUGGG
rnacentral:rRNA from 1 species